GACGAACGCUGGCGGCGUGCUAAACACAUGCAAGUCGUACGGUAAGGCCCUUUCGGGGGUACACGAGUGGCGAACGGGUGAGUAACACGUGAGUAACCUGCCCACAACUUUGGGAUAACGCUAGGAAACUGGUGCUAAUACUGGAUAUGUGCUCCUGCUGCAUGGUGGGGGUUGGAAAGCUCCGGCGGUUGUGGAUGGACUCGCGGCCUAUCAGCUUGUUGGUGGGGUAGUGGCCUACCAAGGCGGCGACGGGUAGCCGGCCUGAGAGGGUGACCGGCCACAUUGGGACUGAGAUACGGCCCAGACUCCUACGGGAGGCAGCAGUGGGGAAUAUUGCACAAUGGGCGCAAGCCUGAUGCAGCAACGCCGCGUGCGGGAUGACGGCCUUCGGGUUGUAAACCGCUUUCAGCAGGGACGAAGCUUUUUGUGACGGUACCUGCAGAAGAAGCACCGGCUAACUACGUG
rnacentral:rRNA from 1 species